AUAGACCUGGGUCCAUCAAUAAACUAGCUACUUAGUAGUGUAAUAGACUCAAGGUCGCGUUUAAUAACUUCAACAAAUUUAACAUUAUAUCAGUACAACAUUACAUGAUCCAAAAUACUUCCAACAAAAUAAACUUACAGUAAUUAAACUAUUCCUACCAAUAACAAAUUAAUGUUCUCCUUCUCACUUCAUCAUCCAAGCUGCCACAAAUCUGACAACGACGCACAAGAGCAUUACUCACUUAUUGAGCCUAUUUCAUUCAUCUUAACCAUCCCUCCAACUGUACAAUUUACAGGAAUAUGCCCUCCCUCCAGUUCAAUCUCUCUAUCAUCAUCAUCUUCCUCAUGAACAUUUAUUGCUAAUAUUUUUUAAAGUUCAUCCACCUUGAUCUGCAGAACGAUCUUUUCAUGUUUAAGAGCGUCAUUUUCACACUUUAAACUACUAAUAUGAUCAGCAAUCUUUAGAUCUAGCAGAUCAUCGUCCCAUUCCCAAAAUUGACAUCUUUUACCUUAUCAAAUCAAAUGGGAGAAAUAAUUUAUUUGUAAAAUUAGAUCCCUAAAAUUAAAAAAAGGCAAAUAUGUGGAAUUCAUCUUACAUUAGGUUUGAAAUAUUUUGAAAAAUGCCGACAAGCAUUCACUGAAGUUGUAGCUGUAAAUUGGCUGACAGAUAUGCCACAGUGACAUUUCGUUCUCGACCCAAAACAUGCACUCAACCCUUGACUCAUUUUUCUUCAAUUGUUUGAGUAAUGUUUUUUUGAAGAAAAAAUUAGGGUUGUAAUGUGAUCAAUUUUAUUUGAGAUGGCAAGUGAAAUGGGUAAUUUAAAAUGGGUCAAAUGGGUUAAUUUGAGUAGGUCAAAAAAAUAUAAUUGAAAUGUGAUCAAUUUUAUUUUGAUAACAUGGCUGAUCAAAUGGGUAAUUUUAAAUGGAUCAAAUGGGUAAUUCCAAUGGAUCAAAAAAUAUAUGGUUAGGAAUAGGCAACAUGGACGUAUUUUAAUUUACUGAACAACACGAGAUGUCUUCCAUCAAUCACUAGUCGCCGAUAAACUUCUUUAAUAGUUUAUAAACUCUGAACCCUAACCCCAACCCUGAACACCAAACCUAGAUAUUCAACAUAAAUCAAUUGACUUCCUGAAUGGGCGAGUGUCAACUUAAGGUUUCAUCCUCAACUCUUAUUGCGGUCGAGGGUAAACUAAUUGUCGAGAAUUCACUAAAAUAAGGAUUACACCAUGUUCGACCUUGAUUUUUUUUUAUAGCGUUUAAACAUCUUAUUGAACAUCAUGUAACAUUUAAAGUUAUUAUACAUGGUGUUAUAUUUCAUACCAUUAAGAGUCGUUCAUUCUAGAACAUGUAACAACUCAAGAAGCAAGACCUCUAAGUAUAAGAGUGUUGUCAAGUUGUCACACCUCCUUUUUACUUACACCCCCGUAAAGGGGUACAAGGGAGUUUUCUCCAACUUAAAGUGACAAUCGAAACGGGAUUAUUUAUCUAAAGAUUCAGAGUCGCCACUUGGGAUAAUUUAUGGCAUCCCACGUCACUAGUUUAAAAUCCCGAAUCGAGGAAAAGAUUGACUCUGUAUUGCAGUCUGCGAACACAGAAAUUCGGGUAAGGAAUUCUGUUAACCUGGGAGAAGGUGCUAGGCAUUCCCAAGUUCCGUGGUUCUAGCACGGUCGCUCAACUGCUAUAUUUGGCCUAUUAUCUGAUUCUAAUACAUGUUUUAACCUAUGGUACAAUUUUAACUCUUUAACCGCUUUUAUUCAAUUAUAUCUUUUUAGGAAGAUUUCAACGUUAUUCAAAACAUGUCUUGAACCACGUCACAUAAAUGCACCCGCGAUCGUCGACACAUUUCAUCUAACAUUGUUGAGAUUUGGAUUUGGGUCACAUAAAUGCGCACCCGAAUUUAGGAAAUUAUGUACCAUUACUUGCUGUCAAAACCUAUUUCUUCAACUACAAAUUUUUUCACUAACAACAUAGAAUGUGUUAUUUUAGAAAGAUACAAAAUGAGAAAAGCCCAUAAAAUACAUGGAGUAACAACUUAGAGAGUCCUGUUAACAGCUUGAAGAUUGCCUAAUGAUUUAGGCUACGACUCAAGACACGCAAACAAAAUUCACAAAUGCUCAACUUAGCUGCUUCAAAUCCACACCUCAUUGCCAGUCUUGUUCCUAUGUACAAAGCACAAACCACACCUCUCAACUGAAGGCUUCCCCAAGACUUAAUUGUUGCUUUUAACUACACCAAUAGACCACAACAACAUGGUAUUUUCGGAUAAUUAAUUUUUAAUAAGAAGAGCAAUUAAAUAACAUGGUUAGCUGAUUUCCUUAAUCUAAGCAACAUCAACUUUUUAAGAACAUAAGAGCAAACACAAAGUGCAAACAAAUAUUUCGGUUAAACAUGGACAACCACACAAGUUGAAAAUUAAAGAAUGAACAAGAGUCAGAAUUGGACCUUUAAUUGAGCUUUUCUAAUUGAAAUUAUCCUCUAACCGGUACACCCAAGAGAUGUCGACAGCCAAAAUAGAAUUGCAGCAAUUGAAAUCUGAUCGGAAAACAAGCACAAUAAAAGAAACUUCGGCAGGAACCACAAACGGCAACCUUAACUCCGAAUCGUACUCGAAAACACUCCGUCUCCGCAACACCCACUCUCUGUUUCGAUCUUCUUCUUUUGGGGAUGAGAGUAAAUAAUAAACUGAUUUUUAUUUAAAAUAUUUUUUAGCUUCUCUUUAUGAAACUGGAAUCUAGAGAUCAAAGCAGAGAUAAAAAAUAUUUUUCCGAAAUCGAAUGCUAUACUAGAAUCAGAAGAUAUGCAGAUUCGUCUUAUAACUUGAAACUUUGCAUAGCCGAAAACUUGCACGAUGUAUUUUAUCAAUUAGACUCAGAUUUUCGGGACCCAUUUGUGAAUUUCUACACUUGGAUGAAAUUAGUCUCCUGGAGUGGAAGGAGAAAGAUCGAGAAAUGGGAGGUGGAAUCUUUUAUAAAAAUGUGAAAUCAGUGAUUUGAGAAAACAUCAUUUAAGCUUUUGGGUCUCUGACAUGCUUGAAGAAUGCUCAAGAAAGAUAUGAGCUAAGAUUUUUGUUCUUCUCCAGAGAUACGGCUAUGCUUCUCUUUUUGAGUAUAGGCUAGGUCUAGG
rnacentral:lncRNA from 1 species